rnacentral:rRNA from 1 species
CUACGGGGGCUGCAGUGGGGAAUAUUGGACAAUGGGCGAAAGCCUGAUCCAGCCAUGCCGCGUGUGUGAAGAAGGCCUUCGGGUUGUAAAGCACUUUCAGUGGGGAAGAAAGCCUUGGGGCUAAUACCCUCGAGGAAGGACAUCACCCACAGAAGAAGCACCGGCUAACUCCGUGCCAGCAGCCGCGGUAAUACGGAGGGUGCGAGCGUUAAUCGGAAUUACUGGGCGUAAAGCGCGCGUAGGCGGUCUGAUAAGCCGGUUGUGAAAGCCCCGGGCUCAACCUGGGAACGGCAUCCGGAACUGUCAGGCUAGAGUGCAGGAGAGGAAGGUAGAAUUCCCGGUGUAGCGGUGAAAUGCGUAGAGAUCGGGAGGAAUACCAGUGGCGAAGGCGGCCUUCUGGACUGACACUGACGCUGAGGUGCGAAAGCGUGGGUAGCAAACAGGAUUAGAUACCCUAGUAGUC